rnacentral:rRNA from 1 species
CCUACGGGUGGCAGCAGUGAGGAAUAUUGGUCAAUGGGCUUACGCCUGAACCAGCCAAGUCGCGUGAGGGAAGACUGCCCUAUGGUUUGUAAACCUCUUUUGUCAGGGAGCAACGCCGGCUACGUGUAGACGGACUGAGAGUACCUGCAGAAAAAGCAUCCGCUAACUCCGUGCCAGCAGCCGCGGUAAUACGGAGGAUGCGAGCGGUAUCCGGAUUUAGUGGGUUAAAAGGGUGCGUAGGCGGAAUGCCAAGUCAGCGGGAAAAUCGCGGGGCUCAACCUCGUUCCGCCGUUGAAACUGGCAUUCGUGAGUGGGCGAGAGGUAUGCGGAAUGCGUGGUGUAGCGGUGAAAUGCAUAGAUAUCACGCAGAACUCCGAUUGCGAAGGCAGCAUACCGGCGCCCAACUGACGCUGAGGCACGAAAGCGUGGGUAUCGAACAGGAUUAGAUACCCCUGUAGUC